rnacentral:rRNA from 1 species
AGAAUCAACGCUGGCGGCGUGCCUAACACAUGCAAGUCGAACGCGAAAGCCCCGCAAGGGGCAAGUAGAGUGGCAAACGGGUGAGUAAUGCGUGGGUGACCUGCCUUCGAGUGGGGGAUAACGUCUCGAAAGGGACGCUAAUACCGCAUGACAUCCUGCUUUUGAACAAGCGGAGAUCAAAGUCGGGGUCGCAAGACCUGACGCUUGAAGAGGGGCCCACGUCCGAUUAGCUAGUUGGUGAGGUAACGGCCCACCAAGGCGACGAUCGGUAGCCGGCCUAAGAGGGCGGACGGCCACACUGGGACUGAGACACGGCCCAGACUCCUACGGGAGGCAGCAGUGGGGAAUUGUUCGCAAUGGGCGCAAGCCUGGACGACGCAACGCCGCGUGGAGGAUGAAGAUCUUCGGUCGUAAACUCCUGUCGAGCGGACGAAUGAUCCGCGACCUAAUACGUCGCGAAGUGACGGUACCGCUAAGGAGAAGCCCCGGACUAACUCCGUGUCAGCAGCCGCGUAA